rnacentral:rRNA from 1 species
CCUACGGGAGGCAGCAGUGGGGAAUAUUGGGCAAUGGGCGCAAGCCUGACCCAGCAACGCCGCGUGAAGGAAGAAGGCUUUCGGGUUGUAAACUUCUUUUCUCAGGGACGAAGACAGUGACGGUACCUGAGUAAUAAGCCACGGCUAACUACGUGCCAGCAGCCGCGGUAAUACGUAGGUGGCAAGCGUUAUCCGGAUUUACUGGGUGUAAAGGGCGCGUAGGCGGGACUGCAAGUCAGAUGUGAAAACCACGGGCUCAACCUGUGGCCUGCAUUUGAAACUGUUGGUCUUGAGUGCUGGAGAGGCAGACGGAAUUCCUAGUGUAGCGGUGAAAUGCGUAGAUAUUAGGAGGAACACCAGUGGCGAAGGCGGUCUGCUGGACAGCAACUGACGCUGAGGCGCGAAAGCGUGGGGAGCAAACAGGAUUAGAUACCCUAGUAGUC